GACGGAACGAGGCACGGGAUAUGAUGCUGGCACAAGCCUUAUUAUAUAAUAACGUCAACGUGUACAGGAAAUGACGUAAAAGACGUAACGUCAGUAGCAUCAGCUCCAUGGUGGUCACGUCGCCGCUUCCACUAUAAGUGCAGCCUGUCAUUACGAAAUAAGGCACGAAGUGGACGGAACGAGGCUCGGGAUAUGA